rnacentral:rRNA from 1 species
UUGAGCUUGAUCCCUGGCUCAGAGUGAACGCUGGCGGCAGGCCUAACACAUGCAAGUCGAACGGCAGCACAGCAGUAGCAAUACUGUGGGUGGCGAGUGGCGGACGGGUGAGGAAUGCAUCGGAAUCUGCCUAUUUGUGGGGGAUAACGUAGGGAAACUUACGCUAAUACCGCAUACGUCCUACGGGAGAAAGUGGGGGACCUUCGGGCCUCACGCAGAUAGAUGAGCCGAUGCCGGAUUAGCUAGUUGGCGGGGUAAAGGCCCACCAAGGCGACGAUCCGUAGCUGGUCUGAGAGGAUGAUCAGCCACACUGGAACUGAGACACGGUCCAGACUCCUACGGGAGGCAGCAGUGGGGAAUAUUGGACAAUGGGCGCAAGCCUGAUCCAGCCAUGCCGCGUGUGUGAAGAAGGCCUUCGGGUUGUAAAGCACUUUUGUCCGGAAAGAAAAGCUUCGGGUUAAUAACCCGGAGUUAUGAACGGUACCGGAAGAAUAAGCACCGGCUAAC